rnacentral:sRNA from 1 species
GCCACCGGGCGUGGGGGGUGUCGGGGCCUGCAAGCUCGGUCCCGGCAAGGGCUCUCGCAAGAAGAGCAAAUCUCCAAAAUGAUGGAGCUGGCCAGAGAGAAACAGGCGGCAGAGCUGAAGGCCCUGAAGGAGACGUCGGAGAAGUACGACUGCCUCCCUCCCACACCUGCCUCGCCUCCCAGCAAGGGCUCAGCCGCACAAAACAGCUCCUUCAUGCCUGUCUCUCUGCAGCGACACCAAAGAGAUGAAGAAAAAGCUGGAGACAAAGAGACUGGAGCGGAUCCAGGGCAUGACCAAAGUCACCACAGACAAGAUGGCCCAGGAGAGGUUGAAGAGAGAGAUUAACAACUCCCACAUCCAGGAAGUAGUGCAGGUGAUCAAGCAGAUGACGGAGAACUUGGAGAGGCACCAGGAGAAGCUGGAGGAGAAGCAGGCGGCUUGCCUGGAACAGAUACGGGAGAUGGAAAAGCAGGAAAAAGGAGCCCCAGCCUUCUGAGGCUGUGGGAACCUGUGGCUGCCUUGGACGCUGCAGCCCCCUCCUCA